rnacentral:rRNA from 1 species
AGCGAACGCUGGCGGCAGGCUUAACACGUGCAAGUCGAGCGGGCACUUUCGGGUGUCAGCGGCGGACGGGUGCGUAACGCGUGGGAACGUGCCCUCUGGUUCGGAAUAACUCAGGGAAACUUGAGCUAAUACCGGAUACGCCCUUUUGGGGAAAGGCUUGCUGCCGGAGGAUCGGCCCGCGUCUGAUUAGCUAGUUGGUGAGGUAACGGCUCACCAAGGCGACGAUCAGUAGCUGGUCUGAGAGGAUGAUCAGCCACACUGGGACUGAGACACGGCCCAGACUCCUACGGGAGGCAGCAGUGGGGAAUAUUGGACAAUGGGCGCAAGCCUGAUCCAGCCAUGCCGCGUGAGUGAUGAAGGCCUUAGGGUUGUAAAGCUCUUUUAUCCGGGACGAUAAUGACGGUACCGGAGGAAUAAGCCCCGGCUAACUUCGUG